CACAGUUGGUGUAAUUUCAGUGCAAAUAAGUCCGAGAAGGAUGUGCUGUCACAGGUCAGUCCUGUAAAUUGGGUGGCCCUCCCUUGGUAAGAGCCUCUUUCCAUUGCCCUUAUUUUCCUCAUAGGUCAGUGGGCUGAUAAAAAUCUCCUCACGGUGGCACCUGUUUAAGGACCCCCAUCUGGGGAACACAGUGGUACCUCGUUUUUCCCCUUUUUUGAUGGUGCUGGGAAUGGACCCCAGGGCCUCACACAUGCUGGUCAAGUGCUCUACCACCGAGCCACGCCCCAGCCCCAGUACCUCACUCGAUCCACACCAACACUUUGCAAGGUACACAGGGAGUCUUGUUUACCCCUGCUCCAUUUAGGAAGGAACUCAGGCUCAUGGAAGUCGAGAACCUUGCCUAAGGACACACAGCUUUAAGACUGGCAGGGCCAGGUUCCAAACCCAAUUCAGACCUCAGGUCCAGCAGUCUUUUUUGAUGGACCUCAAACUGUCUUCAGGAUGGACAGGUAGCCACCUGAUUGGUUCUUGGGCAAGGACCCGGAUGUUCAGAGCCAGCGAGAGAGAAAACAAGUGUAACAUCCAUGCAGCAGGCUGCCAGCCUCAUGGGGCAGCUGGCUUGGCUGCGAGGGUUCAGGGCAGGAUGGGAAGCCCUUGAGGCCACAGUGUUUUCUCAUUCAGCUUCAGGCUGAUCUAGCACAGGGAUAGGUACCCAGGCCUGGCAAGGAAUUUUUGAAGCCUGCAAGAGAGAGUGUGGUUUGUAAUGUCAGUUUUUAUUUAGCAGGAUUUUCCUGUGGAAUUAAGUCAGGAAGGAAACUUGACACCAACUUGAUAGCGUGCUACUGGGAGGAGAGGAGGAAGGAAUAAAAUCCAGGGACGAUUUGGGGGGGAUGCGCUCUGUGCAGUGAGAGAGGCAGCCAGCAGGAGACUUAUCUCUGGAGGGGAGGGGAGGGUGGCCAGGAGGCAGGAGCCUGGCUGGGGUUCCCACCCUUGUCAGGAUCGGGACCAGGCACCCUCCUGGCUGUGAGGGCUCUAGUGCCUGCUGGCUUUGCCCUUGCUACUGCUCUGGUGAUUUCUGAGCACCGGCUGCGCUUGCUCAAAGACACCACCUCAGGACCUUUGAACAUGGUGUUUCUGCUCCUAGGAACACCUAUCUACUCUUUGGUGAGUUCCCUGACUCGAGUCUGCCAGCUGGAGGAGUGGACAGCUCAGAGACACAUCUGCCCACAUCCCAAAGCAGUGGGCACUCAAAACUGCCCUGUGCACAGGUUCGUGGCCCAGCACCUGGGGCAGUAGAUGCUCAUGAGGCCCUCGGGAGCACCAAGGAGCACACCUUGUCCUGUCCCAGCCCACCUGGUGAAGCAGCUCUCAGCCCUGUGAGGCUGGGUGGUGCGCUGUGUGGACCCAGCAUUGCUUGGGAGGGCAUUUUGGCAGCAGGCAGCUCUUUUUCCUCCUUUCUGCUCCUCCAGUCUCCCAUUCAUGACUCUCGCUGCUGUUCAGGGGAAGGCCUAGACAAAAGAGUGGGAAGAACAGCCAGGGCAUGGGCAAGAAGCCCUAAGGUCACAUGUGCAGGACCCAGGGUUUUGUCCACCAUCCAGAGGUGACCACGGAGCAGCUGGCCUCUGGGCACAGGAUCCUGGAAAGAGCCCUUGGACAGAGCAGAUGGAGAGCACAUCAGUACCAGGGAUCAAACUCAGGACCUUGCACUUUCAAUCAAGGCAGGCGUAGCACCACUGAGCUAAAUCCCAGGCCAACAUUUCCUACUCUUAACCUCUGUUGUUCCUAGGAUUCAUCCUUCAGUUUUAGAGAACAUGAACUUGGCGUUAUAGACAUCUAACAGGUUGGGAGUUCUAAUAUUUCCCUUUUAUCAUAUUUGGAGGUCCUAUCACCCAGCACUCCCGAUGGCCUGUCCUCCUCUGUGGGCUGUGGGCACCGAGCAGGGGGUGGUCCCAGGGCUGAGCCAUGGGGGAAUGAGCUGGUUAGGAAGGUCCAGUCCCAGGGGGGUUGUGUGGAUUCCGGGCUUGAUUUUUAAUUUUUUUUUUUGGUACCGGGGAUCGAACUCUGGGGACCUUGUGCUUGCCUGGCAGGAGGCAGAACCACUGAGCUAAAUCCCCAGCCCAGGGCUUGUUUCUUAAAAUACCUACUUAAUUGUUAUUAUAGUUACUAAAUUGUUAUUAUGUGUCUAACAUGUCUUUGGUUCUCUGUGAGAAACCCCAAGUAGUUGUCAAAUAAUUGGAUGUGUAUUUUUUUUAAUUGGAUGUGUAUUUACUGUCUAUCAUGUUUCCUGUCAUGUUUCUGUAUUACAGAAUGAACAUCACAGCAAGCCAGUGGUGGAGAGCAGGUCCCAAGGGUCAGGCUCCAUGUCUCUCAGCCUGCUGAAGCCUGAGUCCUCCCUUAGCUGGCUGAGUGGCUGGGUAUUUACACCAAAAGGGGAAAGUAAAUAUUUGGGGGAAGCCUUUGGAGGACCCCAAGGAGGGGACCGGCUUCUCCUGCCUCCCUCGAAGGCCCUCUGAGCUUGAUGAUUGAGAAGCCACCAUGCAUAUCAUCGGCAGAUCUGCAGAGGAGCCUUCAGCUUUGGCUUCUUGGCAACUGGUGGGCUGAAGGGCAGGAUCAGACCAGUGUAGAAAACAGCCCUUUCUCCAUCCCUUCAGGUCCUGUAGGACCAGCUGGGGGAUGCCCUGAGGAUGGGGAUGAGGUGGGGAAGGCUGCUGCAGGUCACCGAAGGAAGCUAAAAUUGGUCUGGAACUGCAGUGUCCUACGCGGCUGCCUAGCACCUAUGGCCACCUCGAGCUUGACCUGCAGCUGCUCCACUGCGAGGUAAAAUACACACCAGAUUUCAAAGGCUUAGCACUGGAAAAAAGAAUGGACAUUGAUAAUAGUUGAACUAUUAUUGCUGAUACAAUAUUUUCAU